GUUGCGCCCAAAGCCAUUAGGCUAAGGGCACGUCUGCCUGGGCGUCA
rnacentral:rRNA from 2 species